CAGCGCCGCGGUAAUACGAAGGGUGCAAGCGUUAAUCGGAAUUACUGGGCGUAAAGCGUGCGUAGGCGGUUUGUUAAGUCUGUUGUGAAAUCCCCGGGCUCAACCUGGGAACUGCAUUUGUGACUGGCAGGCUAGAGUAUGGCAGAGGGGGGUGGAAUUCCGCGUGUAGCAGUGAAAUGCGUAGAUAUGCGGAGGAACACCGAUGGCGAAGGCAGCCCCCUGGGCCAAUACUGACGCUCAUGCACGAAAGCGUGGGGAGCAAACAGGAUUAGAUACCCCAGUAGUCCCUGUCUCUUAUACA
rnacentral:rRNA from 1 species